UGCUUCGGUAACUGAGCUAGCGGCGGACGGGUGAGUAAUGCUUAGGAAUCUGCCUAUUAGUGGGGGACAACAUUCCGAAAGGAAUGCUAAUACCGCAUACGCCCUACGGGGGAAAGCAGGGGAUCUUCGGACCUUGCGCUAAUAGAUGAGCCUAAGUCAGAUUAGCUAGUUGGUGGGGUAAAGGCCUACCAAGGCGACGAUCUGUAGCGGGUCUGAGAGGAUGAUCCGCCACACUGGGACUGAGACACGGCCCAGACUCCUACGGGAGGCAGCAGUGGGGAAUAUUGGACAAUGGGCGCAAGCCUGAUCCAGCCAUGCCGCGUGUGUGAAGAAGGCCUUUUGGUUGUAAAGCACUUUAAGCGAGGAGGAGGCUACUUGGAUUAAUACUCUAGGAUAGUGGACGUUACUCGCAGAAUAAGCACCGGCUAACUCUGUGCCAGCAGCCGCGGUAAUACAGAGGGUGCGAGCGUUAAUCGGAUUUACUGGGCGUAAAGCGUGCGUAGGCGGCUUCUUAAGUCGGAUGUGAAAUCCCUGAGCUUAACUUAGGAAUUGCAUUCGAUACUGGGAAGCUAGAGUAUGGGAGAGGAUGGUAGAAUUCCAGGUGUAGCGGUGAAAUGCGUAGAGAUCUGGAGGAA
rnacentral:rRNA from 1 species